GGAGGAGCAGCAGGGGAAGCCUCCCCCAGGAACCAUUUUAAGGGGGAAGGUGUGUGGCAGGGCACUGUCAGUGCCUGCAACUUUAAGAGUGGAGCCAAGCAGCCAGCAGGUGCUUGAUUGCGGUGGCCAUUUUAGAUCUCUGGCUGCCCAUAUAGACAGGACAGUUUACUGCUGACAGGCUAGGCUGUAAUAUUGCCUGGCUGCAAGGCUCCAUAACAUCCUGAAGGGGACACAGAAUGCAACUCUAAGGACUAAAACCCUGUCAUGGGUACAAGCGCCCAGUGAGAGCAUGCACAACUUACUCUGACUUCAAAUGUAAUGUAAUAAACCAAAACAACAAGAAGAAGCCUUGAAUAAGUCUUACAUAAUCCUGAGGGCAGAGUGUCUUCUUACAGCCAGUUCAAAGAGGACCAUGACAUCACUGGUUGGUUUGGUUUCUGUGAACAUGUGAAUGGCUGAUCAUGCCAAUUUGUGCUUUGAACUGUCUAUAAUGCACUGAGCAAGAGAUGCCACUUUGCUUUUCUUGAUCAACAGCAAACCUGCUGCUGUUGCGAGAUUUAUGCUAUUUGCACUUCUGCUCUGCCUCAGCAGUUCUUCUCCACUCGUACAUGGCAGCCUCAGAUGGAUGAAGCUUUACCAGGUGGAACGAUCAUGAGCAAGAUCUUCCCAGGACUUCAGGUCAAUGUUGAAAUGUUUCAAGGAUGACUUGAGGGAGUCCUUGAAGCGUUUCUUCUGGCCUCCCUGAGCGCUUUUCCUCCUUUAGCUCACCAUUAAAGAUCUUGUUUGGCAGUCACUCAUCUGACAUCCUGGUGACAUGGCCUGCCCAUCUCAUCUGUGAUUUCAUCGACAGAGUGUGGAUGCUUGGAAUGCCUGCCCAAGUAAGAACCUGUGUCUGGGACCUUGUCUUGCCAUCUUAUUCUCAUCAGUUUCUUCAGACAACCCCUGGAAAGCGGUUCAGCUUCACAGCAUGGUGUCUGCGUACCAUCCAGGUUUCACUUGCACUCAUCAGAACUGGCAACACAGUGGCUUUGUAGACCUUUAGUUUUAUUUGCUGAUUGAUGUCCCUGCACUCCCACACAUUUGCAUGUAAUCUGCCGAAGGCCAUGCUUGCUUUAGCAAGUCUGGCAUUGGUUUCAUCAUCGAUGUGAACUGUACAUGAGUGUUCUGCUAAGAUAGGUGAAUUUGUCUACUGCCUGGAGGGUUUGGCCAUUCACUGUGAUGGUAGGCUCUAUGUAAGGCUUUCCUGGUGCAGGCUGGUGCAUCACUUCUGUCUUCUUAGUGUUGAUUGUGAGACCAAAGCUGUCACAAGCUGAAGAGAAAUCCAUACUUUGUUGCAUAUCACGUUCUCAUUUAGCAUUCAGGGAACAGUCAUCAGCAAACAGAAGAUCACAAACAGUCACUUUCUGUAACUUCAUCUUCACCUGUAGCCUCCUCAAAUUGAAGAGUUUGCCAUCAGUCCGGUAAUUGAUGUCAUCCAUGUCACAAAAGGCAUCUGUAAGCAUGGUAGAGAACAUCAUACUGAAGUGGGUCAACCCACUUCAGUUGACUAUGGGUUGGGGUCAACACACAGUCCUACUUGACUCCACUGGUGACUGGGAAUGGAUCAGAUGCCCCACCAUCAUCCACAAAGGGAGCAAGCAUGCCAUCAUGGAAUUGUCAAACCAUUGCGAUAAAUUUCUCCAGGCAACCAAAUUUUGCCAAGAUCUUCAAAGGCCCUCCUGACUGACUGUAUCAAAUGUUUUUGUCAGGUCAAUAAAAGUUAUGUACAGGUUGGAGGUCUGUUGCUGGC